AAUUCUCAACCUCACCAGUUUUGUUAUGAGACUGUGUGAGGCUUGGAUGUGGGGGUUUGUGCAGGCUGCCUCAGCGCGGUCUGCUCCCCUGAAAUGCAUUAGCGAGUUCACUGAGCUCCGUCUAUUGGUGUGAUAAUUAUCUACGCCGUGGAUGGGACUUAGACUUGCUUCUAACCGUCCGCAAGGACAAUCUUUGACA
rnacentral:misc_RNA from 1 species